GGUCCUUUAUCGCCCGAGGCUACACACGUGCUAACAAGUGGGUGGUACAAAGAGAGGCAAGCUCGCGAGAGUAAGCAAAUCUCAAAAAGCCAUCCUCAGUUCGGAUUGGAGUCUGCAACUCGACCCCAUGAAGUCGGAAUCGCUAGUAAUCGCGGAUCAGCAUGCCGCGGUGAAUACGUUCCCGGGCCUU
rnacentral:rRNA from 1 species